GCAAAGGCCGGAGGAGGGCAGAGGGCGAGGCCCUCUGAAGGAGAUGAUACGGAAAUGGAGGUGAACAGAAGUGAGGCAAGAGGUGGUCCACACUCACAGGUCCUGAGGCGCCAAACCAGCCCUUCACACCCACAGGUUAUACUUCAAGAACCUGCUCAAAUAUUUUCUCUUCUGUGAAGACUGACUUCCCUUGGGCCCCAGGAGAGAACUCACCCCAACCCUCAAGCAGUGACAGAAGAGAAAAUCCUCGAGGAGAGUCACAUCCACGCACACGUGACACGGGAAAGCUGAUCCCUGAUGUAGGCAUGGACAGCCAGCCAAUGAGGUCUCUCAGCCAGUGACCACGAGGGAAAGAAUGAACCCGGAAGCGGCUGCAGGAUGGUUUGUGUUGUAAGAGGAGGUGGAAGCAUGCCUACAAAGAACCUUUGUUGAGUUCCUCUUGUGUGACAUCCUACCACCCAUAUUGUCAGUAUUACUUCUCACAACACCCUAACAAGAAGCUGUUACUUUUUUUUCCAGAGUUGAGAAAAAUGGGAUCCAGGGAGGAGGUUAAGUGACUUACCGAAGGUCAGCCAGUGUUUCAGGCAGAGCUAAGAUGUGAUUUCAAGUUGGUCAGACUCCAAAGUCAAUGUUCCCCCCACCACACCUUGCUGCCUUUCAAGGCACUGUGUAUCCAAGGGAGAGCAGGCCAAUGACUUGACUACUGUUGGGGAGGUGGGAAAUGUUUCCCUCCUCUCUUGAAAACAGAUCCAGGGGCGCACUCUAACCUGGAGAGGUGGGUAGCCCAGGGCUUCUCCCACAAUUGCUCUCAACCUAUCCAAACACUGACUCCACACUGUCCCCGUGAUGCCUAUCGUACAUCUUCCUUCCAGCCUCAUCUCACAGCCUGAUGCUAAAGGCAGUUGGGUGAUACGAUACCAUCUCCAUAUCUAUGAAAAAACACAAGGGUUGGCAGCCCUGAGCAGUGCCGCCCACAAAAGAUGACCCAGUUGAU